UACAGAGGUCCCAAGCGUUGUUCGGAUUCACUGGGCGUAAAGGGUGCGUAGGUGGCGGGGUAAGUUUGAUGUGAAAUCUCCGAGCUUAACUCGGAAAUGGCAUUGAAUACUAUUCAGCUCGAGGUUUGGAGGGGGGACUGGAAUUCGUCGGUGUAGCAGUGAAAUGCGUAGAUAUCGAGAGGAACACCGGUGGCGAAGGCGAGUCCCUGGACAACACCUGACACUGAGGCACGAAAGCUAGGGGAGCAAACAGG
rnacentral:rRNA from 1 species